rnacentral:rRNA from 1 species
AUUGAACGCUGGCGGCAGGCCUAACACAUGCAAGUCGAGCGGAUGAAGGGAGCUUGCUCCUGGAUUCAGCGGCGGACGGGUGAGUAAUGCCUAGGAAUCUGCCUGGUAGUGGGGGAUAACGUCCGGAAACGGGCGCUAAUACCGCAUACGUCCUGAGGGGGAAAGUGGGGGAUCUUCGGACCUCACGCUAUCAGAUGAGCCUAGGUCGGAUUAGCUAGUUGGUGGGGUAAAGGCCUACCAAGGCGACGAUCCGUAACUGGUCUGAGAGGAUGAUCAGUCACACUGGAACUGAGACACGGUCCAGACUCCUACGGGAGGCAGCAGUGGGGAAUAUUGGACAAUGGGCGAAAGCCUGAUCCAGCCAUGCCGCGUGUGUGAAGAAGGUCUUCGGAUUGUAAAGCACUUUAAUUUGGGAGGAAGGGCAGUAAGUUAAUACCUUGCUGUUUUGACGUUACCAACAGAAUAAGCACCGGCUAACUUCGUG